UAUGCCCUUCGGGGCUUUUUGGUGAUUCAUGAUAACUUUACGGAUCGCAUAGCCUUGCGCUGGCGACGGUUCAUUCAAAUUUCUGCCCUAUCAACUUUCGAUGGUAAGGUAUUGGCUUACCAUGGUUUCAACGGGUAACGGGGAAUUAGGGUUCGAUUCCGGAGAGGGAGCCUGAGAAACGGCUACCACAUCCAAGGAAGGCAGCAGGCGCGCAAAUUACCCAAUCCCGACACGGGGAGGUAGUGACAAUAAAUACUGAUACAGGGCUCUUUUGGGUCUUGUAAUUGGAAUGAGUACAAUUUAAACCUCUUAACGAGGAACAAUUGGAGGGCAAGUCUGGUGCCAGCAGCCGCGGUAAUUCCAGCUCCAAUAGCGUAUAUUAAAGUUGUUGCAGUUAAAAAGCUCGUAGUUGAAACUUGGGCCUGGCUGGCGGGUCCGCCUCACCGCGUGCACUCGUCCGGCCGGGCCUUCCUUCUGAAGAACCUCAUGCCCUUCACUGGGCGUGCUGGGGAACCAGG
rnacentral:rRNA from 1 species